rnacentral:rRNA from 1 species
CAGCAGCCACGGGAAUACGUAGGUGGCAAGCGUUGUCCGGAAUUAUUGGGCGUAAAGGGCUCGCAGGCGGUUUCUUAAGUCUGAUGUGAAAGCCCCCGGCUCAACCGGGGAGGGUCAUUGGAAACUGGGAAACUUGAGUGCAGAAGAGGAGAGUGGAAUUCCACGUGUAGCGGUGAAAUGCGUAGAGAUGUGGAGGAACACCAGUGCCGAAGGCGACUCUCUGGUCUGUAACUGACGCUGAGGAGCGAAAGCGUGGGGAGCGAACAGGAUUAGAUACCCCGGUAGUCCCUGUCUCUUAUAC